GAUGAACGCUGGCGGCGUGCCUAAUACAUGCAAGUCGAGCGAACAGACGAGGAGCUUGCUCCUCUGACGUUAGCGGCGGACGGGUGAGUAACACGUGGAUAACCACCCUUUAAACCUGGGAUAACUUCGGGAAACCGGAGCUAAUACCGGAUAUUAUUUUGAACCGCAGGGUUCAAUAGUGAAGGCGGGUUUGGCUGUCCCUAAAGGUUGGACCCGCGCCGCAUUAGCUAGUUGGUAAGGUAACGGCUUACCAAGGCGACGAUGCGUAGCCGACCUGAGAGGGUGAUCGGCCACACUGGAACUGAGACACGGUCCAGACUCCUACGGGAGGCAGCAGUAGGGAAUCUUCCGCAAUGGGCGAAAGCCUGACGGAGCAACGCCGCGUGAGUGAUGAAGGUCUUCGGAUCGUAAAACUCUGUUAUUAGGGAAGAACAAAUGUGUAAGUAACUAUGCACGUCUUGACGGUACCUAAUCAGAAAGCCACGGCUAACUACGUG
rnacentral:rRNA from 1 species